GGUGUGAUAGCCCAACUGGAAGAGGCCACCGAGUCCCAAGGCUCGGGAAAGUGCAGGUUCAAGUCCUGCUCACACCAC
rnacentral:tRNA from 1 species